UGUCCUCCAUCACUCCAUUUCCUUUGAUUCUAUUUCUCCUUGAGGACGGACUUGGGCCUUCUUGCAGAGCGUAUCUCUUGGUCUCUCAUCCUCCGUCUCUCCACCCUUCUUUGAAAAGAAGAAGAGGUGAGCAAGGAUCAAGAAGCAACAUAAAGAAGAAAGCCCAAGAACACCUGCGAUAUUCCUUGAUCCCACUCCCACAUGGAAGCAAAAGCUAAAGGAGCGCCGAAGUCUGCCUCCAAAGCAGAGAAGAAGGAGGCAGCCCCACCGCCGAAGCCAGACCCCGUCUCUGCCGAACCCGCGGAACCCGAGAAGCCCGCGGAAGAUGGAGCCACCGACCAACAGGGGGCGACGGAGUCGGCAGGAAGUAGCUGUGGCUGUGAAGCCUUAGAAAGUUUGAAGCCUUUCCUGAUUGGAGGAGCUGUCAUCGCCCUUGGAGCUGUAUUGGUGGGCGUAAUCGUAUUAGCCAAGAAAAACUGACCCGAGACCUGUGAUUGGUUGUUAAAUGGCGGGGGUUGAUUAGUUCACAGACUAUUAAAGUUUAUAUAAGGGGGGUGUUGAGUCACUAGGUGUCUUAAUUUUAAGCUGUGCUUUAAUUUCAGAGUUUGUUACCGCCAGCUAAAGCAAGCUAGAGAUGCAUUUAGGCCAAACACUUUUUUCACAUAGCAUUCAACACAGUUCCAUAUCUAUGUCCUCAACUAGUCACUUCUGCCUGCUGGUUCAAUGAUCAAACUACAUCAUCGUCCAUGCCAUAAUGAUGACGUGAAUACAGUUAUACAAAAGUUUUUUCCAAGCUGGUCUCAAAACCCAUAACUGCCAAUUGUAAGAUAAGACAAUAUUAAAGUGCAUUCAUGAUUCAAGGUUAACAAAACAGAGGUUUUCUGGAGUUUAUGGAAAUUAAAUGCUAUUUAUAUAAAGCAAUUGGUUUCAUAUUCAAAUGCUAAUGCAAAUCCAUGUGUACAAGUACAUGGCUCUAACAUCUAUUGCAGUUAGGCCUGUAUUGUUGAGAGAUGGUGUAGAAAUAAUUGCAGUAAAUGAUCUGUGUUCAUCAUCUGUCAUCAUCCCCAACCAAAAGUAAGUCAUUCUAUAAUUCAGUAACCUUGCCUGUGGACUGCAUAGCGCCAUUUCAAAAUCUUUUUUGUUUUGUUUGUUUGUUUGAACGAUGUUGAUGAUUUUCUGAAGCUGGCCAAUGGAAAUAGAUGUGUGAUGCAAUAUAGAUGCAACGUAGAUUAUGACGGCUUUUGUCCAACAGCUUCAAUUUCACAGUUACACUAUGAUGAGCGCUCUUACACAACAGAAACAAUCCCUAAAUGCAUGCAGACACGAACAAUAUACACUUACACGUCACAUGACAUACUGUUACGGAAAAUGACAUUUUCUUUAAAGUGCGUAUAUAAUGCAAUAAUUCCAAUAGAACUCUGUAUUUAAAAGAAAGAAGACUAUUUAUUAGUUGUGAUACUGAUGGUAAUGAUGUUGAUGAUGAUGUGGCAACAUGGUGGUUGUCUUGGUGGUGGUGGUGGUGAUUAUGAUGAAUGAUUAUGAUUUUAUUUGUUGAAGUUAACCUAUCCCUCUGUGUCUCUUCCCUUCUGCCAUAUGUAUUUUACACACACCCUCGCCCGCUGCCUUUCUGCUGUUCCUCGUGUGAAAUAAAGUAAGAUGGCUCCCUUGUGACUUGAUGGCCUUAUUAAAGGACAAUGAACUAUA